GAUUUGGAAGACAGAGGACAUGAAGAUGUCCGUUCCCAGGCAGGCAGUGAUGGAGGAGCCCUCCACUGAGCCCCUAAGCCCCAGAGGUCACAAGUGGGCCAAGAAUCUUGCCCUGAGCCGAGAGCUGGAUGUCAGCGUCGCUUUGAGUGGCAAGCCCAGCAAGGCAAGCCCUGCCGUGACAGCUCUGGCCGUCACUAGGAACCAGGCCAAGCUCUUGGUGGGUGACGAGAAGGGAAGAAUCUUCUGCUGGUCUGCUGAUGGGUAGGAGAAAAACAAGUGCCGGAGGUACCCUGGGGUCGGCAGCAGCAAACUACAGGCACCAAGGUGAUGCACAGGCUGGCUGUCUACGCAGAGCAAGCUUUGGGGGGAGGCUCACCUCCCCACAGUUCUCAAGGACUGAUGAUUUGCACCGGGUACCCCAAACACGUCUGCAGUCUACAAGACUUCUGUAAAAAGGAUCCUGAUAGACAUUGAUGCUGGGGACUGUCCUGCUGGUGACAAGCUGAACAGGAAGUUUCCAAAACAAGAGGGUGGGUUUUGGGUCAUGGAAACCACCCCGUUGUCUUUAUUUUAUUAAAACACCAUUUUCCAAA
rnacentral:lncRNA from 1 species